rnacentral:lncRNA from 1 species
AUCAAUUGGCUAAAAGAAACUAUGAAUGAAUGGAGUUGUUGGGAUUUACAAUUUCAUCUUAUCCACCCUCUUACAUCUACUUUUCUUAUCUAAUUCGCUUAUUUAUCAUAUUGUCAUGCAAACUUUCUUGGUCUACCCUUAACCCAAUUCCUUGGCGAAAAUAGCCUAUUACUAAUUACCGGCUUGUUAUUCCUAGCCUCUCCUAGUAACUAAUAAUGCAUGAUAAGCAGAAGCAAAAUACAAUUGAUCGUCCUACCCCUAUUCCUAGGCGGUAUUAGCAUAAUCAAGGAAUUCC